UACGUAGGGACCAAGCGUUGUUCGGAUUUACUGGGCGUAAAGGGCGCGUAGGCGGCAUGACAAGUCACUUGUGAAAUCUCUGGGCUUAACCCAGAACGGCCAAGUGAUACUGUCGCGCUAGAGUGCGGAAGGGGCAAUCGGAAUUCUUGGUGUAGCGGUGAAAUGCGUAGAUAUCAAGAGGAACACCUGAGGUGAAGACGGGUUGCUGGGCCGACACUGACGCUGAGUGCGCGAAAGCCAGGGGAGCAAACAGG
rnacentral:rRNA from 1 species